rfam:Jatropha curcas cultivar GZQX0401 scaffold193_19, whole genome shotgun sequence.
AAGUUAUGAUGUGGGCACUUUCUUAAUAAGUCCUUGAAUCUUGCCCAAGCAUCGUAAAAACUCUCUUGAUCAUGGUGGACAAAGGUCAUUAUCUUGUUCCGCAGUUU